GCUUCCGUCUUCUCAUAACUCCACAUCAGCUUCCUCCAAAUUAACUUCUUCCUCCAUUAUAUAAUUUGACAGUUACCAACCAUCCUCUUCCUCUUCUGAAACCAUUCCUCUUCUUCUUUCAAAACCGUUUCCAACUCUUUUUCUCUUUCACACUCGGCUCUCUCCACCGUCAUUGCAAGACCUAACGGCACGAACCUGAUUGAUCAUUCAUCAACCACUUGCAAUCUUCCUCUCCAUCUUCUUCGUCUACAACUGUUUCUUGAUUAUGAUUUUAAAUUAUCAAUUUCCCAUUUUAUUAUUCACAUCAAACAAAUUUGUAGCUUCUUCAUUUAGGGUUUUGUUUCCGUUUCUUCGAUUCAUAACAACACAUACAUCACUCUUCAGAUUAAAGGAGAUGAUGGUUGUUGAUUGAACGUGAUGAUUAUUGUAUGAUUUCAUUCUCAAAGGUGAUCUUUGUUAUGUACAGUUGGACUGAGGAGGUGGUGAAAGAAUCCUCACAAAGAUUUUGACUAUUAGAAAACGUGAUGCUCUCUUUCUAUCGAUUUGUUUCCUCUUCCUCUACAUCUUCAUACAAAAUUGUUUCUUCUUCUUCUAUCGAUUUUUUUUCAAUUCUUUUGGAUUAUUGCAUAAUUGCUUUCCUGUUCACGGCGGUGUUGCUUGAGGUUCGUCAACGAUGGAUAACUUCGCGUAUGGUGUUUGCGGCAGUGUCGAAACAAGAUUUACAUUUAUUUGACUACUGCAGCAAGAGGUAGAUAACUAUAUACCUAAGAAUUAUCUGCCACCAAUUAUUAGACUUUGUGGGAAGCUUGAGAUGUUGGACCGUUUAUUACCGAAAUUGAAGCAACAGAUCACAAGGUUUUAGCGGAUGGAAGCAGUUUGAAUCCUAUUUUGAGGUUGCGUCGGCUAUGGUCAUCACAUGGUGAACAAGUCAGAAUGAAAGGGUUUCUAGAAGAUCGACCCAGAUUGCUGGGUAUUUGCAAAUGAGGGUUUUUUUAAUCUUUUGUUUCUUGAAGAUAGUAUUUGUGAAUCUAAUCCUUCUCCUUCUAAAAAUAGAUGAGCAUCGGAAGGAAGUGGAAGAAAAUCAUUGAUGUUAGCGACAAGAUGACAUAUAACUUCCAUUUAAACUUCUGCUCAUAAUGAUUUUUAAAUGGCUAAUGCAUAAAUAUUUGCUAUACUUACCUGUUUAAGUGUUACAUGUUUAACAAAAUCACCUUUGAUUCAAGGUUUUAUAAAAUGGUCUCUUUUACGUUGCGGUCGUGUAAAGAUUUUUGUGAUUUCGGUUUUGUAAAGGUUGUCGUAGCAAUAUUGGAACCCGUUGAUUUCGGCGCCAAAAAGAACAAAGAACCUCCUCCCUUCCAUCGAAGAUGCCAACGAAAGGUUAUAUACGCGCGCUCCACCUUUGUUGCGGCAGACCCUGAAUCAUAUGUUCCAAUUGCAAUUUUGAUGUUUGGCUUUUUAUGACAGUGAUUCAGCAUGUGCAUUGAACAUGGAGAAACUGCUCGAAACAAGAAUUGACGCUGCUGUUGAAUUGCGUACAAGGUUCAAUGUUCCUUCUGUUCAUACCAAUGCAUAUCGUCUAAUCAAUAGUGAGGAUGAUAGGUAAGAGAUGAAAUGCAUUGUUUGUUUUGAAAAUGAAAUGAAAUUGCAGGUUUAAUGAUACUAGGUUAACUGUAAAUGGUGUUGAGUAUGAAGGAAGUUUGCUUUGUGUUGGAAAGUUGAUCAUGUCUUGGAAACCACACAAGUUUUCAGAGAUCAAUGCCGAUAGGUUUGUUUCUUCCUUUCUUAUUCUCUAUUGCUCUUGAUUUUUCUGAGUGAGUAUUUUUACAUUGUUCUAUUGCUUCUUGCUUUCUCUACAAAUCCUUUUACCAUAUAAAAUGUAGUAUUUUUAGGACCACCUAUUUCUUCAAUGUUUGAAUAAGAAUACUACUUCCACUUUCAAUCCGUGUUGAAUUUUAUUGUUGAUAGUACUUAAUGUGUUUAUUCAUCAUUUAUCCAUGUCAUAGAUAGAAGUUCCACUAAGUUCCACUUUCAAGGGUAUGUUAAUGAAUAUUCAUACUAUGGUAUUAUUUAAUCUAUCUCAUGCUAUUCAUUGUAAUCUUAUAUGUAUGUUUUUUAUUCUCAGACCAUAUCAAAACCUGUUUAGCAUCCCUCUGAGCUUCCUAAGUCGAACUAUGAUGGAUCAAGCUCUGGACAAGCCCCUGGUGAAGACAGUGAAGUGAUAAGUCCUAACAUAGCAUUUUUCUUUUUCUGUUAUCAUGAACCGAUCAAAGCAACGCUAUGAAAAAAUGGUCGAUAAAAUUUGUGGGUGGUGGAUAUGGAUGUAAAAGCAAUAGGAAAAUGAAUACAAUUACAGGUAAUGAGGUCAUUAUUAAUGGCUUUCUCACAUUAUGUGUCUGCGUGCCCCCUAUAUAUAGAUUGGCUCUCUGCUUUCUUUCAAUUUUGCCUACAUAGGUUGGUGAAGUUCAAUUUCUGAUGAGUGCUUCUCCAUCCAUUAACUAGGUUUAUCUAUACAAAUACAUUGUGUCAAUAAUAUGCAGAAAAUCAAAAUUGGUGGGCGAUGGGAUUUAGCAGUUUCAUGAACGAUCUCAUUUAAAUAUGUACAAGUAAUAACCUCUCUGUUUUAGCUAUACAGACAAGAUGUCUUCAAUAUUCAGAAAAGUAAAAUCAGUGACUGCUAAACAUGCCUACUUUUUUACGUGGUGAAGACUGUACAGGUGCUAGGAUUUCAAUGAGUAAGACAACGCUUUAUUUUUUUGUAGGGAGAAGAGUGUACAUGUGCUAAACAUGCAACUUACCUCUCCAAGCCACUUCAAUAAAUGAUUUUCAUAUUUCUUCGCUAGGAUGUCAUCUCUAAAUAGCUUACGACUUAUAUGAAAAUUGUUUAAGCAAGUUUCCUAUUUGAUUUUAAAAUUUGUCUAUACAUAAUGACUAUAUAAUAAAUAGUUAUUCAAUAAACACUUAAUUAAACACUCCCUUGAACCAGUGUGGUUGUUCGGUAAAGACUAAUUACAUCAAGUCAUGGGUGCAGCAUUGUACUUACCAAUUUCCCAAACGUGUUAUUUUUGCUGAUGGAAAUAUAUAUACACCAAUUCAUUUCUAACUAAUUAGCUUCUGAGUAUAUUUGUGAGUUUUUCUUGGUCCCAAAACUGCAGGUCUUGAAUCUCUAUGUUUGGUUGAGUUUUAGGUUGGAAGAUUCUUUCCCAUACCAAGACUUGACUUCAUCUCAAAAAGCCAUGCUGAUUGAAGGGUACAUCGAUACUAUCAAUGUAUGUAUGUCCAAUGUAAUCAAUGUGAUAUGGUCUUGAGAUGGUUGCGGUGUGAUGUGCGGAUCUGUUUUGUAGAAGAUUCAUCAUGACAUGGUCAAUUUUCCGCUGCAUUAGUUCUCUGCUUCAUAGCAAUCCUCUACAAUGAACGGUUACAAAAAUGGGAACUGGUACAAUUGCCAUCAAUAUACUUUUUAUAAGAAGUCAUAUUCAAUUUUGAAUAAAUAAUGGUUGAUUAGUCAAAUUCAAUUGUUCAUGUGUGUAAUAGAUUCACACCCUUACGGUACGCGCGAGUCAUAUUUCAGUUCAAUACUAAAUUGAAUCCAAUUGAUGGUAUUGUUCAUGAGUUUCUUGUCGGUGAUAAGUUCCACCCCGAAUAAUGCAAAAAUAUUUAUCAAAUGUUGGAUGAGGUAGAUAAGCUUUUGGAGGAAAAUGGGUUUGUGCCUGAUACUUCUGAGGUACUAUGUGAUAUGGAUGAAGAGUGAAAGGAAGGCGCUUUGAGUCAUCACAGUGAGAGAUUGGCUAUUGCUUAGGAUCGUGAAGAAUCUCCGUGUUUGUGGAAACUGUCAUUCGACUACAAAGCUAAUUUAUAAGAUUUUCAAUAGGGAAAUAAUUGCAAGAGAUAGAAACCGUUUUCAUCAUUUUAAAGAUGGAUUUUGUUCAUGCAAUGAUUGCUGGUGAAACUUAAUCUAUAUGUUCAAUGGAAUAUAUCAUGCAUAAAGAGAUGUCACUGAUUUGCAUUCAUAUGAUUAACUAUGAUAGAUUGAUAGUACAUAAGAACUCUCUCACUAUUGAGAUGCAAGUCAUUAUUUAUAAUACAUGAAGAAAACUAGCUUAAUGUUGAUUAAGAAUUUAA